GCUUUGUUUAUUAUAAUAUUCAAGAUGGCACCUCCUACACCAUCCAUGGCUUCUCGUAUGUCUGCUCUUGUCUUGAGGGUUCUCACUUUUAUUUUCCUCUUGGCUUCACUUAUUAUCUUGACCACCAACACCGCCACCUUAGAAUUUGAUCUCUUCCAGGUUAAAGUCCACUUCAAAGAUGUUUAUGCAUAUCGGUACAUGGUUGCAGCAAUUGUUAUUGGAUUUGCAUACACAAUCUUGCAAAUGGCUAUCACAUUAUACCACGUUGCCACUGGAAAUCGAGUGAUGAGUGAUGAUGGAAGCCUUGUUUUUGACUUCUAUGGUGACAAGGUAAUAUCAUAUGUUUUAGCCACUGGUGCAGCUGCAGGAUUUGGAGUUACAAAAGAUAUGAAAUCAAUAUUGACAGGUUCAGGAAAUGUUGACCAAUUCUUCAACAAAGGCUAUGCCUCUGCCAGUCUCCUCCUCCUGGGAUUCAUCUGCACUGCAAUAUUAUCUGUAAUCUCAUCCUAUGCACUCCCUAAGCGUGUUUAACCCUUCCAAUUACAAGCAAAAAUGUAUCAUAUUAACAUAUUUUGAAUUUAGAAUUUUCCCAUUUUCAUGUAUAACAUUGAUGGGGAUUAUAUAAAUAAUAAAAUUGUACUUUGGCAUAAACCAAAUUUAACUGCAGUACCCAACAUGUUAUACCCAUUUUAAUAACAAAGGCUUCUUAAUUUUCAUUAAACCAUGGUAAGGUAUGGAGGGAUGUGGGUGGGAGUUUUAGCUGGUGUUGUGGGCGACUGUGAUGCUUAAUAUCGGUGACAGGGGACAUA
rnacentral:misc_RNA from 1 species